rnacentral:rRNA from 1 species
GCAUAUCAAUAAGCGGAGGAAAAGAAACUAACAAGGAUUCCCCUAGUAAUGGCGAAUGAAGAGGGAAAGGCUCAAAUUUUAAAUCUACCUGGUUCCCAGGUCGAGUUGUAAUUUGAAGAAGCGAUAUCGGUGUGGAGGUCUGGUUCAAGUUCUUUGGAACAAGACAUCAUGGAGGGUGAGAAUCCCGUGCAUGAUCAGACCAAGAUACUUAAUAUUCGCUUUCUAAGAGUCGAGUUGUUUGGGAAUGCAGCUCAAAUUGGGUGGUAGACUUCACCUAAGGCUAAAUAUCAGCGAGAGACCGAUAGCGAACAAGUACUGUGAAGGAAAGAUGAAAAGAACUUUGAAAAGAGAGUUAAAUAGUACGUGAAAUUGUUGAAAGGGAAACGAUUGAAGUCAGUCAUGCUAGUGAAAAUUCAGUUUGGUGGGUUUUGGGUUCAGGAGUUGAGGCAGGGUCAAACCGUUUCUCUUUUGAACUUGGAAUUUGUCAGAUGCACUUUUUCUUUGGCAGGUCAGCGUCGAUUUCGGAGGUUGUAAAAUACUUGGGGAAAAGUAGCUCUGCUUCGGGAGAGUGUUAUAGACCUUGGGUGAUGCGGCCUGCGGGAUCGAGGAUUGCAGCAAAUGCUUUUGGCUUGUCGCCUGAUCUCUGGACGCCAUCUCGCUUGUAUCAACAUUCUUGGUACCGGUGAGUAAUGGUGCUCAUAGGUUAGAGCGAUCAAAAAUUUGCUAAGGAUGCUGACGUAAUGGCUUUAAACGAC